GAAAUGCGAUAAGUAAUGUGAAUUGCAGAAUUCAGGGAAUCAUCGAAUCUUUGAACGCACAUUGCGCCCCCUGGUAUUCCGGGGGGCAUGCCUGUUCGAGCGUCAUUUCACCACUCAAGCCUCGCUUGGUAUUGGGCGACGCGGUCCGCCGCGCGCCUCAAAUCGACCGGCUGGGUCUUUCGUCCCCUCAGCGUUGUGGAAACUAUUCGCUAAAGGGUGCCGCGGGAGGCCACGCCGUAAAACAACCCCAUUUCUAAGGUUGACCUCGGAUCAGGUAGGGAUACCCGCUGAACUUAAGC
rnacentral:misc_RNA from 1 species